CCCGUAUAUCGCUUGACAUAAAACCAUGCAACGCUAAUCCCUUUCUCUCUCUCUCAGAGCGCUCUUUCUCUCUCUCCAUGUUUCUCGGUCAAAAUCUUCACGUAAAGCUGGAUCUGGAAAAAAUCAUUAGAGACAGAAGGGGUCGCGGGCAACGUUGAUGGCUGAUGGGAUUAGGAGCAUGGAUGACCAUGUUCCAAGGCGUUCAUCUAGCCGAUACAUCAACCAUGCAUCUAGAAAAACACAUCCGUCGUGUAAAAUUGCGAUGC